AUGUCUGGGAAACUAGCCUGAUGGAGGGGGAGUAACUACUGGAAACGGUAAGCUAAUACCGCAUAACGUCGCAAGACCAAAGAGGGGGACCGUUCGGGCCUCCUUGCCAUCAGAUGUGCCCAGAUGGGAUUAGCUAGUAGGUGGGGUAACGGCUCACCUAGGCGACGAUCCCUAGCUGGUCUGAGAGGAUGACCAGCCACACUGGAACUGAGACACGGUCCAGACUCCUACCGGGAGGCAGCAUG
rnacentral:rRNA from 1 species